GCAUGUCGUCAUUUCCGUUAAAAACACUAUUUAAACAUGGCGCUUAACGCCAGGUAUUUUGUUUGCUCUUACGUAAAUUUAUCAUUGUUAAUGUUAAACAAAACAAAAGUUUGACUUUAAUCUGCGCAGUCUUUAAUCUACUCUGCCCCACGGUGCAGAUGGUGCUUUCAGUAGGCCUACGUUGUUACUCAUCUUUUUGAGUUUACUGAACGACCCGACUAACCUGCCAUCGAUUGAAAGUCUGGCUUGCCACGCAGGAAAGUUUUUUCUUUCUCAGAAGUAGUUGGCCGAAGAGAAGCUCACGUUGUUGCAUUGGGAUGACAAUUUACUUAAGAUUACUGUGUCUUUACUGUUUUAAUUCACAUAUGUGUAUAUAUUCACGUUGUUUCUCUUCAAACUAAGCAACAGCCACUCUUGAAUAUUGAACGAGCAACAUACUGGUUAGCCUGAUCCCUGUGGUGAUGCGCUGCCCUAUUGCCAGCGGCAAAUACAUUACCUCUUAAGGUUGCAGUGUGCAGUUUAACUUUGAUUCCUUGUCUUCAUAUCUGAAUGUAAUUGAAAUGCCGUGCUAGGAAAAGGAAGAAUUGUAAAUGGGACUGUUGAAAAUGAGUCGCAAGUUUGAAUAUUUUACAAUUUACUCGAUUAGACAGCCACACGAAGAUAGCCUACUUUUUAAAAUUAGAUGAGACAAAAUACUUCCUUUCUGUCUUUUGGUCUUUAUUUAUGCUUUGGUGGUCGGUAAGAUUUUUUUGCUUUUAGUUACUGAAAACAAAUUGCCUUAAUGUGUGGUUUCCUUUAAUGACCUGCAGAAUGGUUCUUAUGUUCUGGACACCAAGCCUCUAACCUUGGUGCUCUAUUAAUCAGUCAAGAUUUAUUUUAAUCUUAAAUUUAAGCUGCUUGUGUACGGAAAGGAAUUUAUUUCUUGUAGUGUUCUUAAAUCUGAAAAUGUUUCUGUAUCACUAGCUGUUUUACUUGAGGAUUUAUGUGAAAAUGAAGUUUUUAAAAAAGUCUGUUGUAUUGGUGAUUUUUUUUUUUCUUUUUCUCUCCCCCAUUUGUAGUCUUCAAUGUCACCAAUAGUUGGAAUUUCUGCAAAGGAAUUUCAUCUUCAUGUUAUUUUGGGUUGUAAUUUUGGUAUUGAAGCAUUGGCACUAGAACUGGGAGGCUUUCCUAGCUUUACUGUGGAAUCAAAUAUUAUGGUUUCAGUUUUCCCAAAUCUAUGGAAAAUUAGCUGAUUAUUGGAUAAUAUGUCACUUGGGGUGUUUUCUGUUCAAAGCUUUGUUCUUAUGAGAUAGUAUUACAAAAUUCUGCAAAAGAGGAGGCUGAUAUUACUAUGGCAGGAAAAUGAAGACCCAGAAUACUUCCCUGGGAAACUCCACUACUAAUUUAAUCAGUCUGAGAUUCCCAUACAGCAUCUGGUAUCUGAUGGUAAGGAUUUCAAACUAAAAUUGAUUUACUAUUGAACCCCAGGGCUUUGCAUUUGUAUCACAGGCUUUUCCAGCUCACGAUCCACUAUACCACAAAACUUACUCCUGACCAAUUAAAAUAUGCAUGUAUUUUAAGAGCACGUUUCCAUAAAACUGUACUGAAACCUGUGCAGAAAAAAAAUUUCCCCCCAGUUUUAAGUUUCAGUUGGUUCAUAAUGAAAUUCCCUGAAUGCACGAAGUGAUUUCAAAUGUUUGACCAGGAAUGUUUGAUAGGAUUGACUUGGGAUGGCGCGUUGCUUUGAUUUGUAUGAUGCCUUACCUUCGAAUAAAGCAUUAUCAUUACUCCCCAA